CUGGCCAUCUGGCUUUAAGAACUGAAUUCUGUAGGCUGUGAGCUCCAGCAAAUGCCUUAGGGACUCAGUUCUGGAAACCUGGCUGUGCUGC
rnacentral:pre_miRNA from 13 species